rnacentral:lncRNA from 1 species
GAGAAUUGCAAAUUGACAGAUUGAAGAGCCAAAAGAAAGAGAGCGAAAAAUGUCGGGAUUGGAAGACCAAAACGUGCGCAAUUCUAGAAAACCACGUUGUUGUCUCCUCUUAUUUAUGCGGGGUUGAAUCGGUAGCUGACGUUUUUAGUCCAGUGUCGAACUCCAGAGGCAGCAGGCACAAAACAUUGAAGAUUCCUCCAGGCUUUGUCGCAAUCAUUAGACAAUAAAGCAUCGUCCGGUUUCCUUAACUGGAAAUUCGCGGUCAUCUCUGGUUGUUGAAAACUGUUAACAUAUUUGCAAAAGCAGCAAAGACCCAAAGAGAUUAAGAAAGGUAACGAAGCAGUAUACAUUAAUGGAAAUGUUAGUGGACAAGUUGGUUUUUGGGAAUGUGAUAAAUCAUCAGAGAUCUACACCAAUCUCGGUAGAAUUUCGUUUGCCAUUAUGAGCAUGGAGGUGGACCAGGUGGUGGAGGCCGAGCAAAAGAAAGUCAUGAAGAUGGGGGGGGGGGGGGGGGGGGGGGCGUAGUAUCAAUAGUGGUAUAUGAGAUGGCUAAAAUAACCCUAAAAACUCUUGAAAUAAUUAUGAUUUUUCUUCUCUUAAACUUCUUCAGUAGCCAUUUAAUCCUUGCCAAAGUGAUAGAUAUUGGUUCAAAGAUAUAUCUUUCUAAUCUUUUCUUUGACCUUUUCAUUUUUCCUUAGAGCGUACCAGGAGAGGGAAAAAGAGUAAACCCCAUAACCCAAAAACAAAAAAAAAAAAAACAAAUAAAAAAAUAGAGAAUAAGCAAGAGAAAUGGGAAUAAUAAAAAGAAAAGGCCAAUAUAUUAGGGGCAUUUUUCUCAAUAAAGAUUCGCAUUGUACUCAAAGAAGAUCGUGACAAUGUAUCCCUAUUCAAAUGGUAAGAUAGUUCACCUGGAAUUGCAUGACAAGAGUGAGGAAGACCUUGAUGGAGAAAAUCAGCCCUUCACUUCACGGCAAGAAAAGUGAAA